rnacentral:rRNA from 1 species
UUGUCAUUAGUUGCCAUCAUUUGGUUGGGCACUCUAAUGAGACUGCCGGUGACAAACCGGAGGAAGGUGGGGAUGACGUCAAGUCCUCAUGGCCCUUAUGGGUAGGGCUUCACACGUCAUACAAUGGUCGGUACAGAGGGUUGCCCAACCCGCGAGGGGGAGCUAAUCCCACAAAGCCGAUCGUAGUCCGGAUCGCAGUCUGCAACUCGACUGCGUGAAGUCGGAAUCGCUAGUAAUCGUGGAUCAGCAUGUCACGGUGAAUACGUUCCCGGGUCUU